rnacentral:rRNA from 1 species
ACAGUUUGAUCCUGGCUCAGGACGAACGCUGGCGGCGUGCCUAACACAUGCAAGUCGAACGGGGCCGGGGGCAACUCCGGUUCAGUGGCGGACGGGUGCGUAACACGUGAGGAACAUGACGUUCGGUGGGGGAUAGCCGGCCCAACGGCCGGGUAAUACCGCGUACGACGGUCUGGGCGCAUGCCUGGGCCGUGAAAGCAGCAAUGCGCCGAACGAGUGCCUCGCGGCCUAUCAGCUAGUUGGUGGGGUAACGGCUCACCAAGGCGACGACGGGUAGCUGGUCUGAGAGGAUGGCCAGCCACAUUGGGACUGAGACGCGGCCCAGACUCCUACGGGAGGCAGCAGUGGGGAAUCUUGCGCAAUGGGCGAAAGCCUGACGCAGCGACGCCGCGUGUGGGAUGACGGCCUUCGGGUUGUAAACCACUGUCGGGAGGGACGAAGAUCUGACGGUACCUCCAAAGGAAGCACCGGCUAACUCUGUGCCAGCAGCCGCGGUAAU